rnacentral:snoRNA from 1 species
AUUUGCCAAUCAUGUUGACACCAUCCACUUGGGCUUGGUUUACUGGUCUCCCCGAGUACACUAUCAACAGCUAGGCCAAGUUGAAGGCCUAGUA